rnacentral:rRNA from 1 species
GUGGCGACGAUGCGUAGGGGUUCUGAGAGGAAGGUCCCCCACACUGGUACUGAGACACGGACCAGACUCCUACGGGAGGCAGCAGUGAGGAAUAUUGGUCAAUGGGAGAGAUCCUGAACCAGCCAAGCCGCGUGAGGGAAGACGGCCCUAUGGGUUGUAAACCUCUUUUGUCGGAGAACAAAACCCGGGACGUGUCCCGGACUGCGUGUAUCCGAAGAAAAAGCAUCGGCUAACUCCGUGCCAGCAGCCGCGGUAAUACGGAGGAUGCGAGCGUUAUCCGGAUUUAUUGGGUUUAAAGGGUGCGUAGGCGGUCUGUUAAGUCAGCGGUAAAAUUGCGGGGCUCAACCCCGUCGAGCCGUUGAAACUGGCAGACUUGAGUUGGCGAGAAGUACGCGGAAUGCGCGGUGUAGCGGUGAAAUGCAUAGAUAUCGCGCAGAACUCCGAUUGCGAAGGCAGCGUACCGGCGCCAGACUGACGCUGAGGCACGAAAGCGUGGGGAUCGAACAGGAUUAGAUACCCUGGUAGUCCACGCAGUAAACGAUGAAUGCUGGUUGUCCGGGUCGAAUGAGA